rnacentral:rRNA from 1 species
UACGUAGGGGGCAAGCGUUGUCCGGAAUCAUUGGGCGUAAAGAGCGCGUAGGCGGUCCGGUAAGUCCGCUGUGAAAGUCAAGGGCUCAACCCUUGAAUGCCGGUGGAUACUGUCGGGCUAGAGUCCGGAAGAGGCGAGUGGAAUUCCCGGUGUAGCAGUGAAAUGCGUAGAGAUCGGGAGGAACAUCAGUUGCGAAGGCGGCUCUCUGGACCAGCACUGACACUGAGGCACGAAAGCGUGGGGAGCAAACGGG